GACGAACGCUGGCGGCGUGCCUAAUACAUGCAAGUAGAACGCUGAAGGAGGAGCUUGCUCUUCUGGAUGAGUUGCGAACGGGUGAGUAACGCGUAGGUAACCUGCCUGGUAGCGGGGGAUAACUAUUGGAAACGAUAGCUAAUACCGCAUAACAGUAGAUGUUGCAUGACAUUUACUUAAAAGGUGCAAUUGCAUCACUACCAGAUGGACCUGCGUUGUAUUAGCUAGUUGGUGGGGUAACGGCUCACCAAGGCGACGAUACAUAGCCGACCUGAGAGGGUGAUCGGCCACACUGGGACUGGGACACGGCCCAGACUCCUACGGGAGGCAGCAGUAGGGAAUCUUCGGCAAUGGACGGAAGUCUGACCGAGCAACGCCGCGUGAGUGAAGAAGGUUUUCGGAUCGUAAAGCUCUGUUGUAAGAGAAGAACGAGUGUGAGAGUGGAAAGUUCACACUGUGACGGUAUCUUACCAGAAAGGAACGGCUAACUACGUG
rnacentral:rRNA from 1 species